CUCUGAGAUGGCCUCGCGUCUGAUUAGGUAGUAGGCGGGGUAACGGCCCACCUAGCCGACGAUGGAUAGGGGUUCUGAGAGGAAGGUCCCCCACAUUGGAACUGAGACACGGUCCAAACUCCUACGGGAGGCAGCAGUGAGGAAUAUUGGUCAAUGGGCGAGAGCCUGAACCAGCCAAGUAGCGUGAAGGAUGAAGGUCCUACGGAUUGUAAACUUCUUUUAUACGGGAAUAAAGUAUCCUACGUGUAGGAUUUUGUAUGUACCGUAUGAAUAGGCAUCGGCUAACUCCGUGCCAGCAGCCGCGGUAAUACGGAGGAUGCGAGCGUUAUCC
rnacentral:rRNA from 1 species